GCUGGGUGUGGUGGUGCAUGCCUGCAAUCCCAGCAGCUUGGGAGGCUGAGGCAGGAGGAUCACAAGUUCAGAGCCAGCCUCAGCAAAAGUGAGUUGCUGUCUCUAAAAUACAACUCAGUGAGAGCCUGUCUCUA
rnacentral:sRNA from 1 species